AUGGCGACCGGCGUACGGGUGAGUAACGCGUAUCCAACCUGCCCUUUACUAUGGGACAGCACGUCGAAAGGCGGAUUAAUACCGUAUGUUGUCAUGUUGAUGCAUAUUUUCAUGACCAAAGGCUUCGGCCGGUAAAGGAUGGGGAUGCGUCUGAUUAGCUUGCCGGCGGGGUAACGGCCCACCGGGGCGACGAUCAGUAGGGGUUCUGAGAGGAAGGUCCCCCACAUUGGAACUGAGACACGGUCCAAACUCCUACGGAAGGCAGCAG
rnacentral:rRNA from 1 species